rnacentral:tRNA from 1 species
GGUGAAGUGGCCGAGAGGCUUAUGGCGUCACCCUGCUAAGGUGAAGCCUCCGAGAGGGGGCCGAGAGUUCGAAUCUCUCCUUCACCGCCA